rnacentral:misc_RNA from 1 species
GAUCAUUCUUUGUGCGUGUGAUGGUUCUGCUGUCUGUAGGAUGAUGAUAGGUAGAACUUCGGUUUGGAUUCAGUCGAUUCCCUCGCGAUCAGGCUUGUGGCCGAUCGUCGGUAGGGCCUGUCGUCUGUUAACCUCGAGGCUAGGAUGUGGGUGAUUGUGACUUUCAGUGGCGAUUCAGUUCGAUUCGCUCGAGAGCAGGUUUGUGGCCGAUUCGUAAGGGCCUGUCGUCUGUUAACCUCGAGGCUAGGAUGUCGGUGAUUGUGACCUUCAGUGGCCUAGCGCGCUCUUGAAGGAAGAAUAUGGCUACCAAUUGCAGGUUGAUUUAGAGUCGUUUGUGUAAUUCUGCGCUUCCAAGGGAUCUUAUUCUUUAAGUGUUAUCCAGGGUUUUUCAGUGAACGCUCGUAUCCGCUCAGGGUCUGCGAUGUUGGAUGUUUUGCUGGUGGAGGGUAUUUGUCGUAUGGGGCCAUCAGUUUGUGAAAAUGGAUUCCUUGCUAGAGAGGACUUUCCUUUCUUGUCAUUUGUUGAUUGAGGGUAUUGUUGGUGAGAUGCCCUUUGUUCAUCAAGAAAAAUGAACUUGAACAGAAAGUCUUCUCUAGUAAAGUCUCCAUAUUGACGAUAUUCGGAUUCGGAUGGAAUGGUGAGAAAGGAGUGAAAGAAUUGGUGAUCAUCCACACUAAGGGAUGUAAACCAUCAGAUCGAUAAAUAUAAACUGAUGAAUAGACAAUGGAUGUAAAUGUUGGGAAGAUAUAAUAUUUUGCCUGUUAUAUUUCAGACAAUUGCUCUACUUCACUAUUGACUCAGCCUUUAUAGUGCCAAAUCCUAUGUGAAUUUUCGCAAGACUUAUAGACGUUAUUUCAAUUCUGUAUAUUUGUGAAAUUUGUUUAUGAUAGGACAUAAGCAUCAUCACCAAUGAUGGAACACCGUGGUCAUUAACUAUAGGCUACAAUACUUGUUCAACAAAGUGCCAUCGCUUUGGUCAUGAGUUUUGAUGAUUGUUUAUCAGUAUGGUGGUUUUUUCAUGCUGGAGAACGCAAUGUGUGCAUACUUGUUUGGGAAGAUGCCACCACUCAUGGAUUUUGACAUUUGUAUCACCUAGCAGUUGGUUUGCAUGGUUAAAAAGUGAAAUGAUGGUAGAACAAUUGAUGUUUAGAUAAUAUAGCAAACCAUCCUCAUCAAACUAUUUAGCUUGAAAUUUAGAACUCUUACAUGUUCAAAGUAAUUUCCCUUUCAUUAUGGCAUACAUUCUGGCAUGAAUAUCUUAUUAUGAUGAUUCCAUCUUUAUCUAGUCUCAAACAACUGAACAUAUGUGUUAACGUGACUCAUCUUUGUCAAAUGAAUAGAUUCUUAUUGCAUCUAGACUCUAUACAUUGAAGGUACAGAUGAUAACAUGAUCAUCAUCAUUUUCAAAGAAAUUGAUGUUGGCUUCUCUAGAUAAAUUACAAAUACUUAGUGAAAUAUCACUAUAUAAUCAUUUUGUUGAUUCAGUUGUUCGAGGCUUUAUUCUUCCAAUUGAGUAACAAUUGUGCCUAUUAAUACAUUAUGUUGCAUUAAUAUUAAUACUCUUGAAAUCUCG